AUUUUACGUUCCCCUCCCUUUGUACACACCGCCCGUCGCUACUACCGAUUGAUGGCUCAGUGAGGCGUCCGGACUGGCCCAGAGAGGCGGGCAACUGCCACUCAGGGCCGGAAAGCUCUCCAAACUCGGUCAUUUAGAGGAAGUAAAAGUCGUAACAAGGUCUCCGUUGGUGAACCAGCGGAGGGAUCAUUA
rnacentral:rRNA from 1 species